ensembl:lncRNA
AGUCCCGCCAUAUUCUCCCUGCAGAGGGAAGGGGGAGGGGCUUACCCCUUUGCUCCCCAGUCCAAUGGACCACGCACACGGUGGAUUGCCUGCUUAACUCAUGGCUAGAACACCCGCACUGGUCGCCUUGCUCUGUCCUUUCUCCCAGCCCUAGAAUGGGCACCAGAAUACCUCCCACUUGUGGUGAUUCAUUCCUUUUUUUCUUCUUGCCUUCCUUCUGCGCAUGCUCAUUAUGUCCUUGCUGGGUGUGAAGCCCUGAGCAGGACGCAGGGAUGAGCCGCGAUGGAUCGGGUGGCGCUGCCCUCAUGGCCCAACGAGUCUGCAAAAGCUGUCACUGAAGGCUCACUGCAGCACUUGGUCCCGGGGAGCCUGGCGCCUCUCCCCACAUCCCUCCCCUGGCAGGAUAAUUCUGCAGCCAGGACUUCAGGAAUCGCUUCGGAAGCAUUGUGUAAGAAACCUUUCCACCCAUGCUGAAAUGGCGUUGAUCAAGACCAUCCCUUUGCCUUCGAUCUCACAGCCAGGAAGCAGAAGCACCAGGAUUGAAGAGUUUCCAAGACCAGCUGGCAGAUCUAUGCUGGUCCAGUGUGUUGCCAGUGAAGGACAGGGAAGCCUGGCGUGCUGUAAUCUGUGCAUGUGUGCUAAUUCACUUCCAUUGUGACUGACUCUCUGCAACACUAUGGACCAUAGCCCAUCAGGCUCUUCUGUCCAUGGGAUUCUCCAGGAAAGAAUACUGGAGUGAGUUGCUGUCCCCUCCUCCAGGGAAUCUUCCCAACCUAGGGAUUGAACCUGUGUCUCUUAUGUCUACCUGUAUUGGCAGGUGUCAAUCAGGAGAAGAAUUUGGCUUCCUAAUUUCUCUUCUCCUCCCUGGGGGCCGUGUGUCUCCCCGCCUCACAUGGACACUGAGCUGGAAUCAAGGUUACUAAUAAUCCCCCAGCACACACAGACACCGAGAGCACAUAUAUUAAAG